rnacentral:tRNA from 1 species
GUGCGGGUAGCUCAGCUGGCAGAGCCCCAGAUUCGUUCUGGUGAGGGAGAAAUCCCUGCGCGGGUUCGAACCCCGCCCCGUACU